GUACUUACCUGGCAGGGGAGAUACCAUGAUCACAAAAGUGGUUUUCCCAGGGCAAGGCUUAUCCAUUGUACUCCAGAUGUGCUGACCCCUGCAAUCUUCCCAAAUGUGGGAAACUCGACAGAAUAAUUUGUGGUAUAGGGGGACUGCAUUCAUGCUUUCACCUU
ensembl:snRNA U1 U1 spliceosomal RNA